rnacentral:rRNA from 1 species
ACGAAGGGUGCAAGCGUUAAUCGGAAUUACUGGGCGUAAAGUGUGCGCAGGCGGCCGCGCAAGUCGGGUGUGAAAGCCCCGGGCUUAACUUGGGAAUUGCGCUCGAAACUACGUGGCUGGAGUAUGGCAGAGGAAGGUGGAAUUCCACGUGUAGCGGUGAAAUGCGUAGAGAUGUGGAGGAACACCGAUGGCGAAGGCAGCCUUCUGGGCCAAUACUGACGCUCAUGCACGAAAGCGUGGGGAGCAAACAGGA